rnacentral:rRNA from 1 species
GUGGGGAAUAUUGCGCAAUGGGGGCAACCCUGACGCAGCAAUACCGCGUGAGUGAAGAAGGUUUUCGGAUCGUAAAGUUCUGUUAUUGGGGAAGAAAAAAGACGGUACCCAAGAAGAAAGUCCCGGCUAACUACGUGCCAGCAGCCGCGGUAAUACGUAGGGGACAAGCGUUGUCCGGAUUUACUGGGCGUAAAGGGCACGCAGGCGGGUUUUUAAGUCAGAUGUGAAAGGUACCGGCUCAACCGGUGACAUGCAUUUGAAACUGAAAGACUUGAGUAUUGGAGAGGCAAGUGGAAUUCCUAGUGUAGCGGUGAAAUGCGUAGAUAUUAGGAGGAACACCGGUGGCGAAGGCGGCUUGCUGGACAAAUACUGACGCUGAGGUGCGAAAGCGUGGGGAGCAAACAGGAUUAGAUACCCUAGUAGUCC